GUUGACACGCUCUGCACCUUGCUCCUGCCCUCGCCUUUCACUCUUCUUAUCCCCCCGAUACCCCGAUCAUUCCUGACAGCUCCUGAGUGCCUGGAUUUCAUCAUCCAGCCCUGCAGGAUGCUCCCAUUUGUCCUGAGGAAGGCUGUCCCAGACGGAGAGGAGGAGAUGGAGGUGGAUACAAAGAUUGAUAUGGAUGAGGAGAUGGAAAUUGAUGGAGAAGACUCUGGAGAGGAAGAGAUGGACAUGGAUGUGGAUGAGGAAGAGGAGAUGGAGGUUGAUAUGGAAGAGUCCAUUGAGGACAUGGACAUUGAUUAAGAAGUGUUGCUGCGCUGCGGGUGGUAGAAAUGCUGCAACCUUCUUGGAGGCGUCUCCUUCAUAAGCCGCUCCGAGGAAGGCCACAAGAACAGCCAUUUCCAGUCCAUGCACACGCACACACCACAGACAGCUCAGCACAGGAAGGCAGGAAGGGUCUUUGCAUAGCAUAUUCCAGCAAGGGUUUUACUGCAUCCAGCACGCCAGAGGGACCAGAGACAAAAGACCAAACCAUGUG